GGAUGGUCCUGGCUGUCCUGCCCAUCCAGACAAUGGGAUGCUCCUGACAUUGGAUUGAACGAGAGCCGCUGGUUCACGCCUGGUGUCUGCCUGCUGAGAGGACUGGACUGUAGCUGCGGAUUCUGUUUUCCGACUGUGGAUGCCAUGUGACCAGCUGCCCCAUGCUUCCCCACCAUGAUGGACUCAGUGAAUUUGGAAUCUCACUUUUUAUGAAAGAGCCAUUCCCACCCGGCCAUGGCUUCCUUAAGGCCUGGACUCACCUGAACUAACAAAGCAUGGACUUCAGGUAUGUAAAUGUCUACAGGUAUACACCGCACUGGUAUAGCAGCUCCCUUCCGGGCUGCAGACUGGUGCCCUCCCUCCAGUAGAGGUGAACAUCCAUCUGACUCAGGCCCUCAGCCAACAUGGUGGCUGGAGCUGGUGACUCAGCAGAGAGAUAGCUGGACAGU